GGGACUGUGGCUUAGUGGUAGAGCGCUUGCCUAGCAUGCAUGGAGCCCCGGGUUCAGAUUACUCAGUGCCA
rnacentral:tRNA from 1 species